GAUGAACGCUGGCGGCGUGCCUAAUACAUGCAAGUCGAGCGAAUGGAUUAAGAGCUUGCUCUUAUGAAGUUAGCGGCGGACGGGUGAGUAACACGUGGGUAACCUGCCCAUAAGACUGGGAUAACUCCGGGAAACCGGGGCUAAUACCGGAUAACAUUUUGAACCGCAUGGUUCGAAAUUGAAAGGCGGCUUCGGCUGUCACUUAUGGAUGGACCCGCGUCGCAUUAGCUAGUUGGGGAGGUAACGGCUCACCAAGGCAACGAUGCGUAGCCGAGCGGAGAGGGUGAUCGGCCACACUGGGACUGAGACACGGCCCAGACUCCUACGGGAGGUAGCAGUAGGGAAUCUUCCGCAAUGGACGAAAGUCUGACGGAGCAACGCCGCGUGAGUGAUGAAGGCUUACGGGUCGUAAAACUCUGUUGUUAGGGAAGAACAAGUGCUAGUCGAAUAAGCUGGCACCUUGACGGUACCUAACCAGAAAGCCACGGCUAACUACGUGCCAGCCGCCGCAGUAA
rnacentral:rRNA from 1 species